rnacentral:rRNA from 1 species
AAAAGCUCGUAGUUGGAUCUCAGUUGCAGAGGGACGGUCCACCUACCGGUGGUCACUGUCUUUUCUGAACGUUGCAGCCGGUUUCUCUUGAUGAUCUUCACCGGUUGUCUUGGGUGACCGGCAAGUUUACUUUGAAAAAAUUAGAGUGCUCAAAGCAUGCGUGACGCAUGAAUAAUGGUGCAUGGAAUAAUGGAAUAGGACCUCGGUUCUAUUUUGUUGGUUUACGGAAAACGAGGUAAUGAUUAAGAGGGACAGCCGGGGGCAUUCGUACUGCGACGCUAGAGGUGAAAUUCUUGGACCGUCGCAAGACGAACUACUGCGAAAGCAUUUGCCAAGAAUGUUUCCAUUAAUCAAGAACGAAAGUUAGAGGUUCGAAGGCGAUCAGAUACCGCCCUAGUUCUAACCAUAAACGAUGCCAGCCAGCGAUCCGGCUGUGUUCCUCAAAUGACACGCCGGGCAGCUUCCGGGAAACCAAAGCUUUUGGGUUCCGGGGGAAGUAUGGUUGCAAAGCUGAAACUUAAAGGAAUUGACGGAAGGGCACACCAGAAAUGGAGCCUGCGGCUUAAUUUGACUCAACACGGGAUAGCCUACCUGGCCCGGACACAGGAAGGAUUGACAGAUUAAGAGCUCUUUCUUGAUUCUGUGGGUUGUGGUGCAUGGUCGUUCUUAGUUGGUGGAGUGAUUUGUCUGGUUUAUUCCGAUAACGAACGAGACUCUAGCCUACUAAAUAGACGUUUCCGAUCCUUGUAGUCGGACGUUCUUCUUAGAGGGACAAGCGGUGUUUAGCCGCACGAGACAGAGCAAUAACAGGUCUGUAAUGCCCAUAGAUGUUCGGGGCUGCACGCGCGCUACAAUGAAGGAAUCAGCGUGUGUUUUCCCUGUCCGACAGGACUGGGUAACCCGUUGAAACUCCUUCGUGCUGGGGAUAGGGAUUUGCAAUUGUCUCCCUUGAACCAGGAAUUCCCCGUAAGCGUUUGUCAUAAGCAAGCGUUGAUUACGUCCCUGCCCUUUGUCCACACCGCCCGUCGCUAUUACCGAUUGAAUGAUUUAGUGAGGUCUUCGGACUGGCGCUCGGAUUGGCCUUCGGGUCGAGCCGAGUGCCGGAAAGAUGACCAAACUUGAUCAUUUAGAGGAAAUAAAAGUCGUAACAAGGUCUC